AGGACGAACGCUGGCGGCGUGCUUAACACAUGCAAGUCACGGGGGCCCGCAAGGGCAACCGGCGAACGGGUGCGUAACACGUGAGCAACCUGCCGAUCUGUGGGGAUAGCCGGGCUAACGCCCGGGUAAUACCGCAUACGGUUGCCGAGGGGAGUCCCUUGGCAAAGAAACCUCCGGGGCAGAUCGAGGGGCUCGCGGCCUAUCAGCUAGUUGGGGGGUAAUGGCCCACCGAAGGCGACGACGGGUAGCUGGU
rnacentral:rRNA from 1 species